AUUGAACGCUGGCGGCUGGCUUAACACAUGCAAGUCGAGCGGAGUGAUGGUGCUUGCACUAUCACUUAGCGGCGGACGGGUGAGUAAUGCUUAGGAAUCUGCCUAUUAGUGGGGGACAACGUCUCGAAAGGGAUGCUAAUACCGCAUACGUCCUACGGGAGAAAGCAGGGGAUCACUUGUGACCUUGCGCUAAUAGAUGAGCCUAAGUCGGAUUAGCUAGUUGGUGGGGUAAAGGCCUACCAAGGCGACGAUCUGUAGCGGGUCUGAGAGGAGGAUCCGCCACACUGGGACUGAGACACGGCCCAGACUCCUACGGGAGGCAGCAGUGGGGAAUAUUGGACAAUGGGGGGAACCCUGAUCCAGCCAUGCCGCGUGUGUGAAGAAGGCCUUAUGGUUGUAAAGCACUUUAAGCGAGGAGGAGGCUCUUUUGGUUAAUACCCAAGAUGAGUGGACGUUACUCGCAGAAUAAGCACCGGCUAACUCUGUGCCAGCCGCCGCCGUAA
rnacentral:rRNA from 1 species